AGCUGAGCUAAUGACUCUUGUUCAGGUGCUGCCUCAGAGAAAAUGCUGCAAAUUCAGGAGCUUAGCAUCUCCUUUGCGCAGAAGAAAGACAAGCAGAUGCUUCCAUUCACUGGCUCAUCUGGGGAAGAUCCAGAAGAGAGGCAUGCUCCAGGUCCUGUCCAUUAGAGAAUGUCAUCUGCCAAGACCCAUGAAGAGAGCCUUGCCUGUUGUGGUGUCCACCCUCAUCAUUCCCCUUGAGAAGACCUUGGUUUAGAAAGAACCACCGCACCCUCUGAAGCAUUGGGCUGGCUCAAAAGAUGGCUGUCUCUGCUUAAUGAGCAUAUCAACACCUUGGACAAUACAUAUCAACACCUUUUCUGUAAAGCCUCUUCCUGGGAGCUACAUCCUGUUCAUGUUAGCACGUGGGAAGAAAGAAAGCCAAAGG